GAUGAACGCUGGCGGUAUGCUUAACACAUGCAAGUCGAACGAACUUAACCUUCGGGUUAAGUGAGUGGCGGACGGGUGAGUAACGCGUGAGCAAUCUGCCCAUGCCAGGGGAAUAACAGUUGGAAACGACUGCUAAUACCGCAUAAGACCACGAUGGAGCAUCCCAUUGAGGUAAAAGAUUUAUCGGGUAUGGAUGAGCUCGCGUCCCAUUAGGUAGUUGGUGAGGUAACGGCCCACCAAGCCGACGAUGGGUAGCCGACCUGAAAGGGUGAUCGGCCACAUUGGAACUGAGAGACGGUCAGACUCCUACGGGAGGCAGCAGUGGGGAAUAUUGGGCAAUGGAGGCAACUCUGACCCAGCAAUACCGCGUGAGUGAAGAAGGUUUUCGGAUUGUAAAACUCUUUAAGUGGGGACGAAGACAGUGACUGUACCCACAGAAUAAGCAUCGGCUAACUACGUGCCAGCAGCCGCAGUAAAAC
rnacentral:rRNA from 1 species